AAUAUUGCACAAUGGGCGAAAGCCUGAUGCAGCAACGCCGCGUGAGCGAUGAAGGACUUUGGGUCGUAAAGCUCUUUUCUUGGAGAAGAAAAAAAUGACGGUACCCUUGGACGACGACCCGGCUAACUACGUGCCAGCAGCCGCGGUAAUACGUAGGGGGCAAGCGUUAUCCGGAAUUAUUGGGCGUAAAGAGUGCGUAGGUGGUCUUGUAAGCGCGGGGUGAAAGGCAAUAGCUUAACUAUUGUGAGCCCUGCGAACUGUGAGACUUGAGUGCAGGAGAGGAAAGCGGAAUUCCUAGUGUAGCGGUGAAAUGCGUAGAUAUUAGGAGGAACACCAGUGGCGAAGGCGGCUUUCUGGACUGUAACUGACACUGAGGCACGAAAGCGUGGGGAGCAAACAGG
rnacentral:rRNA from 1 species